rnacentral:lncRNA from 1 species
CCCGGAAGCCAGGCGAGGAGCCCAGGAGGCCUUUGGAUCGCAGCCCACCUUUGGGACAGGUGCAGCCCCAUUUUACAUCUCAGGACGCCAAGAGUGCCGAGGAUGAGGCUCCUUCCAGACACUUGGGAAAGCACCAGCCCCGCUCAGCACAGGUGGGCAGCAGACUUGACGCCCUGCAAGGCCCGAAGACACAACACAGCAUCCACACGGUGACCUGUAAAUCACCUCGGCAGAAAGAAGACAGGUCCCCAAAGCCACCCCAGGCUCCCCAGCACCCUGAGGAGCAUGGUCGCCAAUCCCACAGCUCCUCCUCCUUUGCCAGUGGCACCCUCCAGGACAUGUGGAGGUUGCUAGACCUGGGAUCCAGCCCUUCUGGUGUCACCUCCCAGGGUGACUCAACUCCAGAGCUCCCAGCUCCUCCAGCAGCCGACAGGAGGCCCGUCAAGAUGCAGGCAGGCAUUGCCACCCCAGGGAUGAAGACAGCAGCCCAGGCAAAGGCCAAGACCACAGGAGCCUCCCGGUCUCAUCCUGCAAAAGCUAAAGGCUGCCAGAGGCCCCCCAAGAUCCGUAACUACAACAUUAUGGACUGACUUCCUCCCCCCACCCCGCCCCACUAAGGGGUGCUCGGGGCCUCCGCAUGGUGCCUGUGCUUUCACCUACGUGUUGUGGGGGGGUGUGGGCACAGCGUGCAGGGUGGAGGCAGGGAGCUGCAGGGCAGGCUCCCAAAUGCUGCUGAGGCGACCCUGCUGACUGAAGGCCUCCCUGAGCACAGGGCCCAUUAAAACCAGGUUCCUCCCUGGGG